UACGGGGGGAGCAAGCGUUGUUCGGAUUUACUGGGCGUAAAGGGCGCGUAGGCGGCCAGUGCAAGUCAGUUGUGAAAUCUCCGAGCUUAACUCGGAAAGGUCAACUGAUACUGCUCGGCUAGAGUGCGGAAGGGGCAACUGGAAUUCCCGGUGUAGCGGUGAAAUGCGCAGAUAUCGGGAGGAACACCAAUGGCGAAGGCAGCUCGCUGGGACGGUACUGACGCUGAGACGCGAAAGCGUGGGGAGCGAACAGG
rnacentral:rRNA from 1 species